rnacentral:rRNA from 1 species
AUGGCGUCAAGGCCGACGAGGAGUCUGGCAAGGUCGCCGACCCAGAGUCCACCGACAACCCCGUCAUGCUCGCCAUCGUCCGCACAAGUACCGCAAGAUGGAGGAGAGGCUCGUCAGCGUCUCCGAGGAGACCACCACCGGCGUCAAGCAGAUGCAGGAGUCCGGCACUCUCCUGUUCCAUGCCAUCAACGUCACCAAGAGCAAGGUUGCUUUGAUGUAUACAAGCUGCUGCUGCUCCAGGUGGACAAGGAAGCCCUCAUGGCUGCUGCUGCACUACAGUCUGCUUUUCAUUUUUUGAACAAGAUUGCUACUGUUAUGUGUGUGAUGCUCCAGCUCCAUGCAAGCACUGGGGCAAAGGGCUCUGUCAAGCAGGUCCCUGGU